rnacentral:rRNA from 1 species
GACAGAGGGUGCAAACGUUGUUCGGAAUUACUGGGCGUAAAGCGCGUGUAGGCGGCUAAGUAAGUCGGGCGUGAAAUCCCACGGCUCAACCGUGGAAGUGCACUCGAAACUGCAUAGCUAGAGUCCUGGAGAGGAAGGUGGAAUGCUUGGUGUAGAGGUGAAAUUCGUAGAUAUCAAGCGGAACACCGGUGGCGAAGGCGGCCUUA